rnacentral:rRNA from 1 species
GACGGAGGAUGCAAGCGUUAUCCGGAAUUAUUGGGCGUAAAGCGUCCGCAGGUGGCAGUUCAAGUCUGCUGUCAAAGACCGGGGCUUAACUUCGGAAAGGCAGUGGAAACUGAACAGCUAGAGUAUGGUAGGGGCAGAGGGAAUUCCUGGUGUAGCGGUGAAAUGCGUAGAGAUCAGGAAGAACAUCGGUGGCGAAGGCGCUCUGCUGGACCAUGACUGACACUCAGGGACGAAAGCUAGGGGAGCGAAUGGG